rnacentral:rRNA from 1 species
GACGAACGCUGGCGGCGUGCUUAACACAUGCAAGUCGAACGGUGAACCUCUUCGGAGGGGAUCAGUGGCGAACGGGUGAGUAACACGUGGGCAACCUGCCCCCGGCUCUGGGAUAACUCCAAGAAAUUGGGGCUAAUACCGGAUGUUCACCGCUUCCCGCAUGGGUGGUGGUGGAAAGGGUUUCCGGCUGGGGAUGGGCCCGCGGCCUAUCAACUUGUUGGUGGGGUAGUGGCCUACCAAGGCGACGACGGGUAGCCGGCCUGAGAGGGUGACCGGCCACACUGGGACUGAGACACGGCCCAGACUCCUACGGGAGGCAGCAGUGGGGAAUAUUGCGCAAUGGGCGGAAGCCUGACGCAGCGACGCCGCGUGGGGGAUGACGGCCUUCGGGUUGUAAACCUCUUUCAGCAGGGACGAAGCGCAAGUGACGGUACCUGCAGAAGAAGCACCGGCCAACUACGUG